AGCAUUAUCCGCGUUGGACCGUGUACAAGUGUCCUGGAAUGGACCAUCAUAGAGGGUGAGAAUCCCGUCUUUGACACGGACUCCCAAGGCUUUGUGAUGUGCUCUCAAAGAGUCGAGUUGUUUGGGAAUGCAGCUCUAAAUGGGUGGUAAAUUCCAUCUAAAGCUAAAUAUUGGCGAGAGACCGAUAGCGAACAAGUACCGUGAGGGAAAGAUGAAAAGAACUUUGGAAAGAGAGUUAAACAGUACGUGAAAUUGCUGAAAGGGAAACGCUUGAAGUCAGUCGCGUUGGCUGGGG
rnacentral:ncRNA from 1 species